AUAGGUAUGCUUAGGGAGGAGCUUGCGUCACAUUAGUUAGUUGGUGGGGUAAAGGCCUACCAAGACUAUGAUGUGUAGCCGGGCUGAGAGGUUGAACGGCCACAUUGGGACUGAGACACGGCCCAAACUCCUACGGGAGGCAGCAGUAGGGAAUUUUCGGCAAUGGAGGAAACUCUGACCGAGCAACGCCGCGUGAACGAUGAAGUAUUUCGGUACGUAAAGUUCUUUUAUUAGGGAAGAAUAAAUGAUGGAAAAAUCAUUCUGACGGUACCUAAUGAAUAAGCCCCGGCUAACUAUGUGCCAGCAGCCGCGGUAAUACAUAGGGGGCAAGCGUUAUCCGGAAUUAUUGGGCGUAAAGGGUGCGUAGGCUGUUAAAUAAGUUUAUGGUCUAAGUGCAAUGCUCAACAUUGUGAUGCUAUAAAAACUGUUUAGCUAGAGUAAGAUAGAGGCAAGUGGAAUUCCAUGUGUAGUGGUAAAAUGCGUAAAUAUAUGGAGGAACACCAGUAGCGAAGGCGGCUUGCUGGGUCUUUACUGACGCUGAGGCACGAAAGCGUGGGGAGCAAACAGGAUUAGAUACCCUGGUAGUCCACGCCGUAAACGAUGAGUACUAAACGUUGGGUAAAACCAGUGUUGAAGUUAACACAUUAAGUACUCCGCCUGAGUAGUACGUACGCAAGUAUGAAACUUAAAGGAAUUGACGGGACUCCGCACAAGCGGUGGAUCAUGUUGUUUAAUUCGAAGGUACCCGAAAAACCUCACCAGGUCUUGACAUGCUUCUGCAAAGCUGUAGAAACACAGUGGAGGUUAUCAGUUGCACAGGUGGUGCAUGGUUGUCGUCAGCUCGUGUCGUGAGAUGUUGGGUUAAGUCCCGCAACGAGCGCAACCCUUAUUGUUAGUUGCCANCACGUAAUGG
rnacentral:rRNA from 1 species